ACAGCAGCCGCCGCGGUAAUACAGAGGGUGCAAGCGUUAAUCGGAAUUACUGGGCGUAAAGCGCGCGUAGGUGGUUCGCCAAGUUGGAUGUGAAAUCCCCGGGCUCAACCCCGGAACUGCCUUUGAUACUGGAAGUCUUGAGUAUGGUAGAGGUGAGUGGAAUUCCGAGUGUAGAGGUGAAAUUCGUAGAUAUUCGGAGGAACACCAGUGGCGAAGGCGGCUCACUGGACCAUUACUGACGCUGAGGUGCGAAAGCGUGGGGAGCAAACAGGAUUAGAUACCCGCGUAGUCCCUGUCUCUUAUAA
rnacentral:rRNA from 1 species